UACGUAGGGGGCGAGCGUUGUCCGGAUUUAUUGGGCGUAAAGGGUACGCAGGCGGCCUUAUAAGUCAGAUGUGAAAGGCAGGGGCUCAACCGAUGAAAGCAUUUGAAACUGUAAGGCUUGAGUACUGGAUAGGAAAGUGGAAUUCCUAGUGUAGCGGUGAAAUGCGUAGAUAUUAGGAGGAACACCAGUGGCGAAGGCGACUUUCUGGACAGAAACUGACGCUGAGGUACGAAAGCGUGGGGAGCAAACAGG
rnacentral:rRNA from 1 species